UGGGGAAUAUUGCACAAUGGGGGAAACCCUGAUGCAGCGACGCCGCGUGAACGAAGAAUGUAUUCGUAUCGUAAAGUUCUGUCCUAUGGGAAGAUAAUGACAGUACCAUAGAAGAAAGCUCCGGCUAAAUACGUGCCAGCAGCCGCGGUAAUACGUAUGGAGCGAGCGUUGUCCGGAAUUAUUGGGCGUAAAGGGUACGCAGGCGGUUUAAUAAGUCGAAUGUUAAAGAUCGGGGCUCAACCCCGCAAAGCAUUGGAAACUGAUAAACUUGAGUAGUGGAGAGGAAAGUGGAAUUCCUAGUGUAGUGGUGAAAUACGUAGAUAUUAGGAGAGAUACCAGUAGCGAAGGCGACUUUCUGGACACAAACUGACGCUGAGGUACGAAAGCGUGGGGAGCAAACAGG
rnacentral:rRNA from 1 species